rnacentral:miRNA from 1 species
AUUCACUCUGCUUCAAAACUGUUGAGAGUAGCAGCAAUCUGAUACACAGAGAAUGAAACAGUGUUGCAGGUGCUGCUGAGUCUCAGAAGUGAGAUAAGAAACA